rnacentral:rRNA from 1 species
UACAGAGGUCCCAAGCGUUGUUCGGAUUCACUGGGCGUAAAGGGUGCGUAGGUGGCGGGGUAAGUCUGAUGUGAAAGCUUCGAGCUCAACUCGAAAAUGGCAUUGGAUACUAUCCCGCUGGAGGUUUGGAGGGGGGACUGGAAUUCUCGGUGUAGCAGUGAAAUGCGUAGAUAUCGAGAGGAACACCGGUGGCGAAGGCGAGUCCCUGGACAACACCUGACACUGAGGCACGAAAGCUAGGGGAGCAAACAGG